GGCUGGCAGAGGAGUUGUGUGAGGAGCCCGUGGAAUGACGUGGAGGAGCUGGAGGCUGGAUGAGGGCUCUGCUGGAAGGCAGCUCCUGGCAGGGCCAGCUUUAGGCCCCUCCAGGGCUGGUCCUGUCACCCUCCAGGGGACACUGCGAGCUCCACAGGACAUAAGCAGGACUGGCAGGGGCCUUGGGAAAUAGAAGCAGGAUGAGGGACAACUAAAUUAAAUUUUACCUGCCAAUCCUCCCUCCAGGAGAUCUCUGCUGUUCAUGGCCAGGGAGUGUCCCUG